GAGAUCAUUAAAAUAAUUUCUCCGUUUUUUUUUAAUGUCCUUAUCUUUGACCAACACUUUUCCUUCUUUAUACUUAAUGCACCUAACUUGAUUAAGAUCUUGACAUUUCCUUUCUCUCAUCCUUGCUAAUCUAUAAACAUCUUUCUCCCAUUCUUUAGUUCCAAGUUUCUCAUGUAACUUUUCAAAAGUCUGCGUUUUUGCUUGACUGAUUGCCUUUUUUGCCUCAUUCUUUGAUAUCUUGUACUGUUCA
rnacentral:misc_RNA from 1 species